rnacentral:rRNA from 1 species
GACGAACGCUGGCGGCGUGCUUAACGCAUGCAAGUCGAACGAUGAAGCUGAAGCUUUUGUUUUGGUGGAUUAGUGGCGAACGGGUGAGUAAUACGUGAGUAACCUGCCCUUGUCUUUGGGAUAAGCCUGGGAAACUGGGUCUAAUACCGGAUAUUCUGCUUCUGCCGCAUGGUGGGGGUUGGAAAGAUUUUUUUGGAUGGGGAGUGGGCUCACGGCCUAUCAGCUUGUUGGUGGGGUGAUGGCCUACCAAGGCGUCGACGGGUAGGGGUUCUGAGAGGAAGGUCCCCCACAUUGGUACUGAGACACGGACCAA